UUUCCGUAGGUGAACCUGCGGAAGGAUCAUUAACGAACAACGGGGCUCGCCCCUUGUCCACAAAUACGCCCUCGUGCACGUUGAAGGCCCAGCUCGUUGAGUGGGUGGGCGACCGCCUAGGAUUCGUAGCCUCGCUUUCUUUACACAAACUUCAGAAUGUACAUCGGAAUGUGUUACGCGUCGUGACGCGUCAUAAUAUAACUUUCAGCAACGGAUCUCUUGGCUCUCGCAUCAAUGAAGAACGCAGCGAAAUGCGAUAAGUAAUGUGAAUUGCAGAAUUCAGUGAAUCAUCGAAUCUUUGAACGCACCUUGCGCUCCUUGGCAUUCCGAGGAGCAUGCCUGUUUGAGUGUCAUGAAACUCUCAACCCCUGCCAUCUUUGCGGAUGAGCAUCGGUUGGAUUUUGGAGGUUGCCGGAUGGUGCCGUUCAGCUCCUCUUGAAAGCAUAGUAAAGCUUGGACCUGACCGACCGAGUGGACGUGAUAGAAAGUCACCGUCGACUGAAGGGUCCAUCGUUGAACGGUUCAAGGCUUUUGCUUGUCGUCUUCGGACGAACGUCUCUGAGCUCUGACCUCAAAUCAGGUAGGACUACCCGCUGAACUUAA
rnacentral:rRNA from 1 species